rnacentral:lncRNA from 1 species
ACCAUCAAAUAUAUAUCGGCCAAAAAUUUCGGCAUGACCUAUUCUAAAAAACUAGCAAUUUUUGUCUACUAGGAGAUCGAAACCUGUAUAAAAAACCCACUCGCAUAUGUACCCCCUCGGCACGAUGGCCGGCCCCUUCUCCAAUGACCCGACACGAUGGUCGGGUCAACAAUUCACAUAAAUGAAGCACUUUCCAAAGCGGCAGCAGCAAAAAAUCGAAACACCUAGCUAAAAUCAUAUAUAGCAUGUAUAUAACAUAUAAACAACAUGUAUAUAGCAUAUAAACAGCAUGUAUCUAGCAUCAAAUCGAUAUAGUAAUGUCAUAAAAGAAAUAAUUACAAUAACCCAUAUACAUGGAAUAGCUUUCAAACAACCAAUCUUUGAACAGCAUGUACAUAUAGCAUAUAAAACACCUAAAAUAAAAACCUAAUUAAAUCCUAAUCCCAAUUAAACAAAUAUAAACAACAUGUAUAUCAAAUUCCAAUGCAUGUAUAUCAAAUUCCAGCAUGUAUAUCAAAUUCCAGUGCAUGUAUAUCAAAUUCCAGCAUAUAUAUGUUUGACUAACAGUAGAUAGUCUAUUAGGGGAUAACAUGCAUGACCCAAAACAUACAUGCAUGCAUACUGCAUCUUCAAGCAGGUUUAACAAAAUAGCCUAAAUGAUAAAAAAAAAACUUUAACUAAUGGAGAUCAUAACCCUAACCCUAACCCUAAAUCAGAGGAGAUCAGGGAGGGAGGCAGAGGAAAGGGAGGCAGAGGCGCGCACUUGGGGUUG